rnacentral:rRNA from 1 species
AGAUUGAACGCUGGCGGCAGGCCUAACACAUGCAAGUCGAGCGGCAGCACGGGUACUUGUACCUGGUGGCGAGCGGCGGACGGGUGAGUAAUGCCUAGGAAUCUGCCUGGUAGUGGGGGAUAACGCUCGGAAACGGACGCUAAUACCGCAUACGUCCUACGGGAGAAAGCAGGGGACCUUCGGGCCUUGCGCUAUCAGAUGAGCCUAGGUCGGAUUAGCUAGUUGGUGAGGUAAUGGCUCACCAAGGCGACGAUCCGUAACUGGUCUGAGAGGAUGAUCAGUCACACUGGAACUGAGACACGGCCCAGACUCCUACGGGAGGCAGCAGUGGGGAUUUUGGACAAUGGGGGAAACCCUGAUCCAGCCAUCCGCGUGUGCGAUGAAGGCCUU